rnacentral:rRNA from 1 species
AGCAGUAGCCGCGGGAAUACGUAGGUCCCGAGCGUUGUCCGGAUUUAUUGGGCGUAAAGCGAGCGCAGGCGGUUAGAUAAGUCUGAAGUUAAAGGCUGUGGCUUAACCAUAGUACGCUUUGGAAACUGUUUAACUUGAGUGCAAGAGGGGAGAGUGGAAUUCCAUGUGUAGCGGUGAAAUGCGUAGAUAUAUGGAGGAACACCGGUGGCGAAAGCGGCUCUCUGGCUUGUAACUGACGCUGAGGCUCGAAAGCGUGGGUAGCGAACGGGAUUAGAUACCCGUGUAGUCCCUGUCUCUUAUACA